rnacentral:tRNA from 1 species
AUCCCAAGCUGGGAAUUGAACCUGGGCCUCCUGGGUGAUAUCCAGGUAUCCUAGCCACUAGAACACGUGGGA